UGGCGACGCUAAUACACGGUU
rnacentral:siRNA from 1 species